rnacentral:rRNA from 1 species
GACGAACGCUGGCGGCGUGCUUAACACAUGCAAGUCGAGCGGUAAGGCCCUUCGGGGUACACGAGCGGCGAACGGGUGAGUAACACGUGAGUAAUCUGCCCUUCACUUCGGGAUAACCACCGGAAACGGUGGCUAAUACCGGAUAUGACUCCCUUCCGCAUGGUUGGGGGUGGAAAGUUCCGGCGGUGGAGGAUGUGCUCGCGGCCUAUCAGCUUGUUGGUGAGGUAAUGGCUCACCAAGGCUUCGACGGGUAGCCGGCCUGAGAGGGUGACCGGCCACACUGGGACUGAGACACGGCCCAGACUCCUACGGGAGGCAGCAGUGGGGAAUAUUGGACAAUGGGCGAAAGCCUGAUCCAGCAACGCCGCGUGAGGGAUGACUGCCUUCGGGUUGUAAACCUCUUUCAGUACCGACGAAGCGAGAGUGACGGUAGGUACAGAAGAAGCACCGGCCAACUACGUGCCAGCAGCCGCCGUAAAAC